UGGGGAAUAUUGGACAAUGGGCGCAAGCCUGAUCCAGCCAUGCCGCGUGAGUGAUGAAGGCCCUAGGGUUGUAAAGCUCUUUCACCGGUGAAGAUAAUGACGGUAACCGGAGAAGAAGCCCCGGCUAACUUCGUGCCAGCAGCCGCGGUAAUACGAAGGGGGCUAGCGUUGUUCGGAAUUACUGGGCGUAAAGCGCACGUAGGCGGACAUUUAAGUCAGGGGUGAAAUCCCGGGGCUCAACCCCGGAACUGCCUUUGAUACUGGGUGUCUAGAGUUCGAGAGAGGUGAGUGGAAUUCCGAGUGUAGAGGUGAAAUUCGUAGAUAUUCGGAGGAACACCAGUGGCGAAGGCGGCUCACUGGCUCGAUACUGACGCUGAGGUGCGAAAGCGUGGGGAGCAAAACAGGAUUAGAUACCCUGGUAGUCCACGCCGUAAACGAUGGAAGCCAGCUGUCGGCAAGUUUACUUGUCGGUGGCGCAGCUAACGCAUUAAGCUUCCCGCCUGGGGAGUACGGUCGCAAGAUUAAAAACUCAAAUGAAUUGACGGGGUCAUAGCUGUUUCCUG
rnacentral:rRNA from 1 species